GUCUGCGCUGGGCACGGAGCGGCGCGCGCGCGCCCGUCUUUCCCUCGGCGGCCCCCGCGGCUCGGACCCGGGCCGGCAGACAGGCCAUCCAUCAUCCGCCCUCCUCCCGCGGAGCGCCGCAGCCGCCGCGGCCAAUCCGGCGGCAGGUGGGGCCGCACCUGCGCGACAGCCCGCCGCUUCCCUCCGCUCCCUUCGCCGCGCCUCGCGUGCUAGCGGUGCCCUUGUGAGCCACUGCGUUCUCCAAGGCCAGAACGGGACAGUUGACGAUGGUCGUACUUCUCCAUGUUCUGAGACCAGUUUAAACAAAAACAAAAACCAGACAACAACCUUGCAAGGGAAAGAAUUCAGAGUAAAUAAACAGUCUUUUUCUGGGAAGUAAAAUAUUUCCCUAAGAUGGAGAAAUUGAGAUGAGAGCUCAUCCACAAGAUUACCCAUCAAUGAGCACCAAUAGCAACCAAAUCCACUAGAAGACUGGGAGCUUUUAAGUCAAGAAACUUACAUCAGUAUCAUCAUUCCAAGAAGCGGUAUCCAAGCUGUUUUAUCGAAAGUGCGCAUGGGAGAUAAGACUCUGAGAAUUUAUAGAAACAAACAUUAGAAGGCAGGAAUGUGGAGAGAAGAAAGCUACCUGACAAGGGAAUCUCAGGAUACAAGGAAAACACCAAGGUGAAGACACUUAAAGAAGGUGACAUAUGACCACAAGAAUUAAGAACAAACAGGGAAACAUGAUAUCACAAGAAAAAAAUAUGAAGCCAGUGACUAACCCUGAAGGGACAGAGAAGAAUGUACUGCCUGACAAAGAAUUCAACAUUUCUAUUUUAAAGAAGAUCCUUGAGGAAUCACCACACUGUCUUCCACAAUGGUUGAACUAAUUUACACUCCAACCAACAGGGUAAAAGCGUUCCUAUUUCUACACAUCCUCUCCACCAUCUGUUGUUUCCUGACUUUUUAAUGAUCACCAUUCUAACUGGCCUGAGAUGGUAACUUGUUGUGGUUUUGAUUUUCAUUUCUAUAAUGACCAGUGAUGAUGAGCUUUUUCCCAUAUGUUUGUGGGCUGCAUAAUGUCUUCUUUUGAGAACUGUCUCUUCAUAUCCUUCGCCCACUUUCUGAUAGGGUUGUUUGUUUUUUUCUUGUAAAUUUGUUUAAGUUCUUCGUAGAUUCUGGAUAUUAGCCCUUUGUCAGAUGGAUAGAUUGCAAAAAUUUUCUCCCAUUCUGUUCAGGUCUUGUCCCCAUUUUUAAUCCCAGGCUUUUCUUGCUAUUGAGUUUUUAAAUAUAAUUUGGAUAUUAACUCUUUAUCACAUAUAUACAAUGUAUAAGAAAUAUGCAGAUAUUUCAUAUCAUUAUGUAGAUUGUCUAUUUUCUCUGUUGACUUUCUUUUGCUGUGCAGAGUCUUUUUUGUUUGAUGCAAUUUCAUUUGUCUAUUUUUGCUUUUCUUGGCUAUGCUUUUGAGGACUUAUUUUAAAAAUUAUCUAUAAAAAGAUGUCUUCACUCUAAUGUUUAUUGCAGGAGUAUUAACAAUUGCCAAGAAAUGGAAUCAAUGGAUAAAUGAAUAAUGAAAUAUGGCAUAUAUACACAAUGCAAUACUAUUCAGCCACACAAAAAAAGGAAAUUCUGUCAUUUUCUAUUAACAACAUGGAUGAACCUAUAGGGCAUUAUGUUACUUAAAAUUAGUAAGGCACAGAAAGAUCAAUAACAUGUAAUCUCAUUCAUCUGUGGAAUCUAAAAAAACUUAAUGUAAUAGAAGUAGAGAGAAGUAGAAUGCUGGUUACCAGAGCCUGGGGUGGUUAGGAGAAAGGUUAUGGGUAGAUAUUGGUUAAAAGAUGUGUAAUUUCAGUGAGAUAGAUAAAAAUAAAUUUAAGGGAUCUAUUGUAUAGCAAGGUGACUAUAGUUAAUUGUGAUAUGUUGUAUUCAUAAAAAAUGCAAAGAGUGGAUAAGUGCUCUCACCAUAAAACUGAUAACUAUAGGAGAUACGGCAUUUGUUAAUUAACUACAUUUAACCAUUCCAUAAUGUAUAUGUACUUCAAAACAUCAUGGACAUGCUAAGUACACACAAUGAUUUCUAUCCAUAUAUAAAGGAAUAAAUAAAAUCACUGUGUGAUAUCACUAUACGACCACCAGAAUGGCUUAGUCAACUACACAUCUAGCUGGCCAAACAACGUCUGACAAUGUCAGUUAUUAGUUAUGGUUUAGGACAACUAUAAUUUUCAUACUCCAAUGGUGGGACUGUAAAUGUGUACAACUACUUUGGAGACUCUUUGUCAUUAUCUACUGUGACUGAACACAUGCAUGCAUAUCUGUGACCUUACAAUUCUAAUCUUAAAAGUUUACUCAAUAGAAAUACAUCAGUAUGUCUUCUAAGGGCCAUGAUGCUACCGGCAUUAUUCAUAGCAGUCCCUGAAUGAACGAAUCCCAGUAUCUACCAACAGUGAAAUAGAUGAAACAUGGUAUGUUCAUGCAGCAAUUAAAAAUAAUAAAAGAAGAACAAACUUCUGCAUGCAAUAGCAUGGAAGAAUCUCUAAACAUAAUACUGAGUACAAGAAGCCAGACCUGCAGAAAGUAGAUAACAUGAAUCCUUUUAUAGAAAGUUCAAUAACAUAGCAAAACUAAGGCAUGGUUAAUCAAAAAGUGGCUACUUUUGAAGAGGUAAUGACCAGAGUAGAUUAAUAAAGGAGAUUUCUAGAGAGUUGGUCAUGUUCUAUAUCUGUACUUCUCAAAAUUCAGUCUACAUAUAGAUCUCCUUCGAGAUCUUUUUGAAAUGCAGAUUCUGAUUCAAUAGGUCUGGGUGGGAGCUAAGAUUCUGCAUUUUUAACAAGCUCCUAGGCAAUGCCAAGGCUACUGGUAAAUGAAUCACACUCUGAGAAACGAAGUUUGAUACCUUCUGAAUGGUGUAUAUGCAAGUUUAUUUGUAAAAUAUCAUCAAACUAUAUGUUUAUAUUUAUGCACUUUCUUUGUAUAUGUUUUACUUCAAUAAAAGAUCUAUUUAAAACCAA
rnacentral:lncRNA from 1 species